UUUCCUGUCUGACUUUAGAAUGUCCUCCAUGGAAACACCAGACCUGAGGUUUGGAGCUUUGGCUCCCCAGUCUCCUGUGACACUGGGUCCUUCUGUAAGCAAGACUUUGAACCUUGGGGAACAACAAAUGAAGAAUGCCAUAGGAAAGGCAUAAAGAACCCAAAGGUGAAGGCCAAAAGGAAGAGCAUGAUCUAAUGGCUGACUGAUAUUCUCUCUGUGAAAAUGGGAAAUGGCUUUUGAACUGCUGGCCUUUUGGCACUGUCACCAAAUUGUAUAAAGACACCAUUUAAUAAACAAUAACAAGUUGACAAUGAGCAACAUUCCUCAAGUAACUCCAUGAUAAAGAAACAAUGAAAAACUGGGGGAAAAAAAGAGAGCAGGUGCAAUGUCAAUCGUCUGUGGAUCUUACAACAGGAUGUUACAAGGAGAUCUUACAAAAAUAAUUUUAAGUUCUGUAAGAACAUUUAAAUUAUGCUAGACAGUAUCAGACUUUUCUGAGAUUCAUUUAUUUCAUACACACACACAAAAAAAAGACAGACCAACUCUCAUAUUUGGGUUGAACUUGCACUAAAUUGAAUCUCUUAAACCCCACAAAUGAUUUUUUUUGGUGGAAACACAUGAAUUUUACUGGUUUAGUAGUGGAAAGAACAGUCUUCAGAAUGGCUGCUGAUGGAUUGAAGCUCUGAAGUUUAAGUAUGUUGCUGGGGUCAUGCAAGGAAGGUCCUUGUAGAUUAGAAACAGGCCUCAUGAGAAGAAGGCUCAGGUGACAGUGGCCCCUGCACUGACCAGGUGGCCCAGGGAGUGUCCUGCAUCCUCCAUAGGUUGAUCCCCAGAGGGGGAGAUCCUGGAUCCGCGGGGGAGGGGGGCCACCACGUGUUUCCUUGGACCAGGUAGCCCCUCCCUCUCCAGGAGGCGGGGCAGCACCAGAAUAAAGAGGGGGGAAGGCCAGCCCUGGGGGUUGGUGUCCUCACCUCCACCAUGGAGCAGCAGCGUGCAGCCUGUUGCCUGAGAAUGGUUCUGGAGCACUCCAGCCACUCCUUGCCCAGGGGCGUGGUAUCCUUUGUGGUGAGCUGGGCUUGGAACAGAUGGGGCAUCACAGCCUUGGUCUUGGAGGUGGUCCCAGGCCCGAGUGAUUGCUUCCAGGGUGCUCCUGUUACUCCGGCCACCAAGGAACAUCACUCCCAGGCGCCCCAGGGGCGGGGUGGAGGCUGCCUUAGCAGGCGCUGGUGGCAC
rnacentral:lncRNA from 1 species